CCCGUGAAAACAGCAUCAGCCCCGUGAAGACAGCAACAUCAGCCAAUACUACUGGCACCGCUAAUCCCCGUGAAAACAGCGUCAACAACAGCCAAUACAACUUCUGGCACCGCUAAUCCCCGUGAAAACAGCAACAUCAGCCAAUACUACUGGCACCGCUAAGCCCUGCCAGCAUUGCUGGUACCGCUAAUCCCCAGCGACAACAUCACCCAGUAUUUUUGGUACCCAGGGUAAAUUUGCCCUAACCCACGAUUACAUUUUUACCCUCGGAUUAGUUCUGUCCCCGAAACGAUGGUUAGCGCUAACUCUGGGUUAGUCUAGAGGUAAAAUCUAACCCUUUUUGCGAAGUGGGUUAACUCGCUAACCUACGGUUUAGUUGGCGUAACACAGGCCUCUCAAACUCUGUAAUAGAACUAAAGUUUCAUAAAAUGAAGUUGCCGACAAAAAGACGUUACACAAAAACAUUGUAGGGAUCAAAUGUCCUAACAUUUCGCUUUGUUAAACGACCUUCGUUGCGAUGCUGACUCGAAAAUUGUGCUGGGACAGACAGAAAGUUACAUGAAAUUUAAACUUGAAAUGAAUCUGUCUCGCUAGUGUCACGCACCAAAUCAAAUCCUGCAAAUGACAUUUUUGGCAAUUAAUUGGAGGUAAUUACAGGCGAUGUAGAGGUGUUGUGGGCCUUCUCUGCGAAUAUAAAACCACCAAAAGUAAAUUUGAGUUGCUCUCUAUUGAUCUACUGGGUAUGCUGUGUGAAUUUCGUCAAACCAGUUUUUCACUCGCUUAAUCCAGGGUUAGUAAAUCGGGGGAUUACUUGGCAUUCGGGAACGGAACCGGCCCCUGUUUCCGUACAUCACCCAGAAACGCGUCGGAGUGAAGUUGCGAAUCGCCCAAGACCUAUCGUCAAGACCCAUUGUCAGUCUGCUGGAGUUAGGGGGUUGAGAUGGGGGAAGGGCUAUGGUUUCGAAAGAUAACAUCUAAAUACGUACUUUACUGCGUGAAGCCACUUCAUCGCGACUGAGACGAACUAUUUCGUCAGAUCUUAUCGAGAAUGGCAACCGUCUUACAGUGUCUUUAAAUAAACCAUAAUAGACCGGGCUCUUGGUCAAUGGAACGAUGAAGACAUGAUUAAAAAGCUAUUUAUUAUAUUGCUGCAAGAGAACGCGCCCUUUUUGGCUGGUUUUCGAGACAGUACAAGUUUAUUCUUGGAUUACGUAGAUUAUUUCGCGCGUUUUCGCAUAUUCUAACUUAUUUUGCUAGAUUUCUUUCAUAUUUGAAGAAAGUUUUGGUAUGUUAACACGAAAAUAGAUGUAGUUUGAAACCUUCCACGUUUACGAGUCAGUGAUUUUGAUAGAGUGACGAUUUAUUGCGAUUUAACGAUGAAGGAGGAGAUGACAGCCGGGGUUUAAUUAUAUGAUUUUUUUAUAUUAGAUUCGUUAUUUUGGUUCAAGAACACUUGCGGGUGUUUUGCACGAUUUUUAUCCCAUAUUCUGUUACUCUACAAGUAGAAUUUGAAAU